rnacentral:rRNA from 1 species
GAUGAACGCUGGCGGCGUGCCUAAUACAUGCAAGUCGAGCGAACAGAUAAGGAGCUUGCUCCUUUGACGUUAGCGGCGGACGGGUGAGUUACACGUGGAUAACCUACCUAUAAGACUGGGAUAACUUCGGGAAACCGGAGCUAAUACCGGAUAACAUAUUGAACCGCAUGGUUCAAUAGUGAAAGGCGGCUUUGCUGUCACUUAUAGAUGGAUCCGCGCCGUAUUAGCUAGUUGGUAAGGUAACGGCUUACCAAGGCAACGAUACGUAGCCGACCUGAGAGGGUGAUCGGCCACACUGGAACUGAGACACGGUCCAGACUCCUACGGGAGGCAGCAGUAGGGAAUCUUCCGCAAUGGGCGAAAGCCUGACGGAGCAACGCCGCGUGAGUGAUGAAGGUCUUCGGAUCGUAAAACUCUGUUAUCAGGGAAGAACAAAUGUGUAAGUAACUGUGCACAUCUUGACGGUACUUGAUCAGAAAGCCACGGCUAACUACGUG